GCCUCGGUGGUGUGGUGGUAGCAAACGUCCCAAGUAUGGAUGAAACGCUGGUUCGACUCCCGUCUGAGGCC